rnacentral:snRNA from 1 species
AUCUACGUGCACGGGUCGGAUCUGCAGCAGUGAAGGUUUUGCCUGAGCUCAGAUUUUUGCUAGUUGAAAACUUUAACUAUAUUGACUACUUCUGCUGGUCUUCGUGAUCGGCAGGGAAUAUUUGGAACCUUUGAAAG